UGUGGGAGCGGGCUUGCUCGCGAAGACGGUUUGUCAGUCACCCUUGAUGUCGACUGACACGACGCUUUCGCGAGCAAGCCCGCUCCCACA
rnacentral:antisense_RNA from 1 species